rnacentral:lncRNA from 1 species
ACCCCUGUGCUCACCGAGCUCAGGGCACCACCAGUUGUGGGGCAGGGGAGGGCACCGGGGGCUGGGACCCAAAGUUCUGAGCCGUGGGGGUCCACAGCAAACCCCAAAGCAAGUCUCUGACACCCCACUCCCCAUCCACCCCCCGCAGCCAUCACCUCGGGGUCCCCACACCCAAAACCCGCAUGAGCAGGGGCUGUCCCCAACUCCCCCAGUCCACACCAGUGCCAAAUGGACCCGGAGGGGGGGGGGCAGGCACCCACGGACACCCAGCACGGGGCCAAAUCCUGCUGUGCACGUCCACGAUGGGAACCAAGCACCUGGUUUUCACACCCCACUGUGCGUCACGUCUACGGGAACCCGGUGUCACCGUACCCACACCCUGCUGCGUGUGGCCUCUGUAGGAACCCGGCACCAGCGGGGCCCCCAGCCCCAGGAGCCGGGUGGGUGCGUGGGUGCCGUGGGUGCUUUUAGGGCGCUGCAGCCGGGUGCCACACCACUCCCUGCAGCGGGCACGGCCACCACGGGAACCCAGCACCUCCCUGCCCUCAGCUCCAAGCGUGCACGGAGGAUUUCCAGGCGUAAAGGCGCGCACACGGCACGGGCAGCAGGGCGCACAGGGCGCUGGGGACCCAUGGGUAUCGGUGUCCUGGGGAAUUUGGGGGCAGCACGGGGGUCAGGAGGUGUCCCAAUACCCAUGGUGGCACGAAACAGCUCCUGUCAGCCUUCCUGGAGCCACCAGGCCAUGGUGAGGACAUGUCCCUGUCACUGCCCCUGUCCCUGUCCCUGUUCCCGUCCUCUCCAUCACCAGCCACGCCACCACCAGUUUGUCCCAGUGGGUCGGAGCCUGGCCAGGCCCAGCUGUCCCCACACCGGACCCAUUCCCACAGCUCAGGGUCCCCAACGUGGCAGUGACACUUUAACACCCUUCCACCACUCGCUGCUGGUGCUUUCGGAGCUUCACAGCCUCCAAAACGCCUCCAAAACCCUGCAGCAGGGAGUUCCCCAGCGCCCCAAGCAACCCGAGCACCUCCUGGUGCCACCCGGGCGGCCCCAAAGGGGAAGGGACAGGGGGACAGGGGGAGCGUGGCACCCUGGGGACGUGUCCCCACCUCCCUGGGGCGCAGGGGAAGGAACUGACCCUG